rnacentral:rRNA from 11 species
UUGACCUCAAAUCAGGUAGGACUACCCGCUGAA